rnacentral:rRNA from 1 species
UAGAGUUUGAUCCUGGCUCAGAUUGAACGCUGGCGGCAGGCCUAACACAUGCAAGUCGAGCGGAAACGACACUAACAAUCCUUCGGGAGCGUUAAUGGGCGUCGAGCGGCGGACGGGUGAGUAAUGCCUAGGAAAUUGCCUUGAUGUGGGGGAUAACCAUUGGAAACGAUGGCUAAUACCGCAUAAUGCCUACGGGCCAAAGAGGGGGACCUUCGGGCCUCUCGCGUCAAGAUAUGCCUAGGUGGGAUUAGCUAGUUGGUGAGGUAAUGGCUCACCAAGGCGACGAUCCCUAGCUGGUCUGAGAGGAUGAUCAGCCACACUGGAACUGAGACACGGUCCAGACUCCUACGGGGGGCAGCAGUGGGGAAUAUUGCACAAUGGGCGAAAGCCUGAUGCAGCCAUGCCGCGUGUAUGAAGAAGGCCUUCGGGUUGUAAAGUACUUUCAGUUGUGAGGAAGGGGGUAGCGUUAAUAGCGCUAUCUCUUGACGUUAGCAACAGAAGAAGCACCGGCUAACUCCGUGCCAGCAGCCGCGGUAAUACGGAGGGUGCGAGCGUUAAUCGGAAUUACUGGGCGUAAAGCGCAUGCAGGUGGUUCAUUAAGUCAGAUGUGAAAGCCCGGGGCUCAACCUCGGAACUGCAUUUGAAACUGGUGAACUAGAGUACUGUAGAGGGGGGUUGAAUUUCA